rnacentral:rRNA from 1 species
AGAGUUUGAUCAUGGCUCAGGAUGAACGCUAGCGGCAGGCUUAACACAUGCAAGUCGAGGGGCAGCAUAAUGGAUAGCAGUAUCUAUGGUGGCGACCGGCGCACGGGUGCGUAACGCGUAUGCAACCUACCUUUAACAGGGGGAUAACACUGAGAAAUUGGUACUAAUACCCCAUAAUAUCAUAGAAGGCAUCUUUUAUGGUUGAAAAUUCCGAUGGUUAGAGAUGGGCAUGCGUUGUAUUAGCUAGUUGGUGGGGUAACGGCUCACCAAGGCGACGAUACAGUAGGGGGACUGAGACGGUUAACCCCCCANACUGGUACUGAGACACGGACCAGACUCCUACGGGAGGCA